CCUACGGGAGGCAGCAGUGGGGAAGUAUUGCACAAUGGGCGGCAAGCCUGAUGCAGCGACGCCGCGUGGGGGAGUGACGGCCUUCGGGUUGUAAACCUCUUUCAGCUCUGACGAAGCGCAAGUGACGGUAGGAGCAGAAGAAGGACCGGCCAACUACGUGCCAGCAGUCGCGGUAAUACGUAGGGUCCGAGCGUUGUCCGGAAUUACUGGGCGUAAAGAGCUCGUAGGUGGUUUGUCGCGUUGUUCGUGAAAUCUCACAACUCAAUUGUGAGCGUGCGGGCGAUACGGGCAGACUGGAGUACUGCAGGGGAGACUGGAAUUCCUGGUGUAGCGGUGGAAUGCGCAGAUAUCAGGAGGAACACCGGUGGCGAAGGCGGGUCUCUGGGCAGUAACUGACGCUGAGGAGCGAAAGCGUGGGGAGCGAACAGGAUUAGAUACCCUGGUAGUCCACGCCGUAAACGGUGGGUACUAGGUGUGGGUUUCCUUCCUUGGGAUCCGUGCCGUAGCUAACGCAUUAAGUACCCCGCCUGGGGAGUACGGCCGCAAGGCUAAAACUCAAAGGAAUUGACGGCNGNGAGNGCGACGGACGACGACGAGGAGGUAGG
rnacentral:rRNA from 1 species